GUGUAGUGGAAGGCGCUUUCUAAUUUCAAAGAAAGCUUCAGCGUGGUUGCACAGUGUCAUUCGCACAGUGUCAUUGAGAGUGCACAGUGUCAUUUUGACUGCGUAUUUUAUUUAUAAUGAGAAAAACUUCUUGCUUCAAUGCUCUCUUCGUCUUCACGGCGCUCGCACUUCUGCUCUCUCUAGCAUAUAAUGGUGGACCUUCUCCAGCUUUAGCAAUGAAGAUUUCUUUCUUGAAGAGAAAGCCACCUCCUCGACCAAUUCCUCAACGCUAUGGUCCACCUAUAAAGCCUGGACUUCGACUUCAGAGGCAGAAUGCAAUAAGAAGGCGGUACGGACCAUUCUUGCCGGUGAAUGGGAGGCCUCCACUGUAAUGCAGAAAAAAUCUGGCGCUCCAUGCAUAAGACGAUUCAACGAAGAAGGUGAAUGAUGCUUGUCCCUAAAGAGCAUGGGGCAUCCGAGAGAAGGCAGAUCUCUUCAUCAAGAAGUCCGUGAAGUUUUCUUUGUAUUUCUGGUCCUGCUCGAAAUAAAUACGUCAUGGUGUCAUUGA